UAAUAAUGAUGAUAACUUUAUAUUCAGUUCUGCUUCUGAUACAAAAGGAAGAAAACCAAAUUUACCAAAAGCUCAAAAUAUCUGAACU
rnacentral:snoRNA from 1 species